CACGGGGGGAGCAAGCGUUGUUCGGAAUCACUGGGCGUAAAGGGCGUGUAGGCGGUCAGGUAAGUGGAAUGUGAAAGCCCUCGGCUCACCCGAGGAUCUGCAUUCCAAACUGCCUGGCUUGAGUAUGGGAGAGGAUGAGGGAAUUCCUGGUGUAGCGGUGAAAUGCGUAGAUAUCAGGAGGAACACCGGUGGCGAAGGCGCUCAUCUGGCCCAAUACUGGCGCCGAGGCGCGAAAGCUAGGGGAGCAAACGGG
rnacentral:rRNA from 1 species